rnacentral:rRNA from 1 species
CUUGAUGGUAGUGUAUUGGACUACCAUGGCGUUGACGGGUAACGGAGAAUUAGGGUUCGAUUCCGGAGAGGGAGCCUGAGAAACGGCUACCACAUCUAAGGAUGGCAGCAGGCGCGCAAAUUACCCAAUCCUGACUCAGGGAGGUAGUGACAAGAAAUAACAACUUCGGAUUUAUCCGAGAUUGGAAUGAGUACAAUGUAAAAUUUUUAACGAGUACCAACUGGAGGGCAAGUCUGGUGCCAGCAGCCGCGGUAAUUCCAGCUCCAGUAGCGUAUAUUAAAGUUGUUGCAGUUAAAAAGCUCGUAGUUGAAUUUCUGUGUAGUGUAUUUGAGGUCUUCGGACUGAUCUGCAUUGCACAUCCAUCUGAACAGCAUUUCAUGUCAUUGAUUUGGCGGUUAUGUGAUCAGAUACUUUACCUUGAGAAAAAUAGAGUGUUCCAAGCAGGCGCUCGCCUGAAUAAUAAAGCAUGGAAUAAUACGAUAGGACUGAGUUCUAUUGGUGCAUAGAACGCAGUAAUGAUUAAUAGGGACAGUUGGGGGCAUUUGUAUUUAAUUGUCAGAGGUGAAAUUCUUUGAUUUAUUAAAGACAAACCUAUGCGAAAGCAUUUGCCAAGGAUGUUUUCAUUAAUCAAGAACGAAAGUUAAGGGAUCAAAGACGAUCAGAUACCGUC